rnacentral:rRNA from 1 species
CUUGUACACACCGCCCGUCACACCAUGGGAGUGGGUUCCACCAGAAGUAGGUAGCCUAACCGCAAGGGGGGCGCUUACCACGGUGAGAUUCAUGACUGGGGUG